UAGGGAAUCUUCGGCAAUGGGGUGAACCCUGACCGAGCAACGCCGCGUGAGUGAAGAAGGUUUUCGGAUCGUAAAGCUCUGUUGUUAAGGAAGAACGAGUGUGAGAAUGGAAAGUUCAUACUGUGACGGUACUUAACCAGAAAGGGACGGCUAACUACGUGCCAGCAGCCGCGGUAAUACGUAGGUCCCGAGCGUUGUCCGGAUUUAUUGGGCGUAAAGCGAGCGCAGGCGGUUAGAUAAGUCUGAAGUUAAAGGCAGUGGCUCAACCAUUGUAGGCUUUGGAAACUGUUUAACUUGAGUGCAGAAGGGGAGAGUGGAAUUCCAUGUGUAGCGGUGAAAUGCGUAGAUAUAUGGAGGAACACCGGUGGCGAAAGCGGCUCUCUGGUCUGUAACUGACGCUGAGGCUCGAAAGCGUGGGGAGCGAACAGG
rnacentral:rRNA from 1 species